rnacentral:rRNA from 1 species
AGAGUUUGAUCCUGGCUCAGAAUCAACGCUGGCGGCGUGCCUAACACAUGCAAGUCGAACGCGAAAGUCCCGCAAGGGGCAAGUAGAGUGGCAAACGGGUGAGUAACACGUGGGUGACCUGCCUUCGAGUGGGGGAUAACGUCCCGAAAGGGACGCUAAUACCGCAUAACAUCCUGCCUUUGAAGAGGUGGAGAUCAAAGCCGGGGACCGCAAGGCCUGGCGUUCGAAGAGGGGCCCGCGCCUGAUUAGCUAGUUGGUGAGGUAACGGCCCACCAAGGCUUCGAUCAGUAUCCGGCCUGAGAGGGCGGACGGACACACUGGGACUGAGACACGGCCCAGACUCCUACGGGAGGCAGCAGUGGGGAAUUGUUCGCAAUGGGCGCAAGCCUGACUACGCAACGCCGCGUGGAGGAUGAANACCCUUCGGGUCNUAAACU